AUUGAACGCUGGCGGCAUGCCUAACACAUGCAAGUCGAACGGCAGCACCGGUGCUUGCUGCUGUUGGCGAGUGGCGAACGGGUGAGUAAUACAUCUGUACCUGACCCUUCGUGGUGGAUAGGCCUACGAAAGCCGGAUUAAUACCGCGUACGGACUACGGAUGAAAGCGGGGGCCCUUGGUGCUUCGCGCUGUUGGGUUGGCCGUGGCCUGUUUAGCUAGUGGUGGGGGUCAAGGCCUAGCAAGGCGACGACCAGUAUCUGGUAUGAGAGGACGACCAGUGACAUUGGAAGUGAGACAGGGCCCAGACUCCUACGGGAGGCAGCAGUGGGGAAUUUUGGACAAUGGGGGAAAGCCUGAUCCAGCAAUACCGCGUGUGUGAAGAAGGCCCCCGGGUUGUAAAGCACUUUUGUCCGGAAAGAAAUGCUGCGCCCUCAUACGGUGGGGGGAUGACGGUACCGGAAGAAUAAGCACCGGCUAACUACGUG
rnacentral:rRNA from 1 species